GAUGAAGAACGUAGCGAAAUGCGAUAAGUAAUGUGAAUUGCAGAAUUCAGUGAAUCAUCGAGUCUUUGAACGCACAUUGCGCCCCCUGGUAUUCCGGGGGGCAUGCCUGUCCGAGCGUCAUUGCCGCCCUCAAGCACGGCUUGUGUGUUGGGCCCCCGCCCCCCGGCUUCGGGGGGCGGGCCCGAAAGGCAGCGGCGGCACCGCGUCCGGUCCUCGAGCGUAUGGGGCUUCGUCACCCGCUCUGUAGGCCCGGCCGGCGCCCGCCGGCGACCCCAAUCAAUUUUUCCAGGUUGACCUCGGAUCAGGUAGGGAUACCCGCUGAACUUAAGCAUAUCAAUAAGCGGAGGA
rnacentral:misc_RNA from 1 species